rnacentral:rRNA from 1 species
AUUGAACGCUGGCGGCAGGCCUAACACAUGCAAGUCGAGCGGCAGCGGGAAGUAGCUUGCUACUUUGCCGGCGAGCGGCGGACGGGUGAGUAAUGUCUGGGAAACUGCCUGAUGGAGGGGGAUAACUACUGGAAACGGUAGCUAAUACCGCAUAACGUCGCAAGACCAAAGAGGGGGACCUUCGGGCCUCUUGCCAGCAGACGUGCCCAGAUGGGAUUAGCUAGUAGGUGGGGUAACGGCUCACCUAGGCGACGAUCCCUAGCUGGUCUGAGAGGAUGACCAGCCACACUGGAACUGAGACACGGUCCAGACUCCUACGGGAGGCAGCAGUGGGGAAUAUUGCACAAUGGGCGCAAGCCUGAUGCAGCCAUGCCGCGUGUAUGAAGAAGGCCUUCGGGUUGUAAAGUACUUUCAGCGGGGAGGAAAGUGUUGAGGUUAAUAACCUCAGCAAUUGACGUUACCCGCAGAAGAAGCACCGGCUAACUCCGUGCCAGCCGCCGCCGUAA